rnacentral:rRNA from 1 species
UACGUAGGGGGCAAGCGUUGUCCGGAAUCACUGGGCGUAAAGCGCACGUAGGCGGAUUGUUAAGUCAGGGGUGAAAUCCUGGAGCUCAACUCCAGAACUGCCUUUGAUACUGGCGAUCUCGAGUCCGGAGAGGUGAGUGGAACUGCGAGUGUAGAGGUGAAAUUCGUAGAUAUUCGCAAGAACACCAGUGGCGAAGGCGACUCGCUGGCCCGGUACGUGA